GGGUGUUUAGCUCAGUUGGGAGAGCGACGGCCUUACAAGCCGUAGGUCGCAAUACCUGCAACACCUU
rnacentral:tRNA from 1 species